rnacentral:rRNA from 2 species
AACACCGCGUGAGUGAAGAAGGGUUUCGGCUCGUAAAACUCUGUUGUUGGAGAAGAACGUGCGUAAGAGUAACUGUUUACGCAGUGACGGUAUCCAACCAGAAAGUCACGGCUAACUACGUGCCAGCAGCCGCGGUAAUACGUAGGUGGCAAGCGUUAUCCGGAUUUAUUGGGCGUAAAGCGAGCGCAGGCGGUUGCUUAGGUCUGAUGUGAAAGCCUUCGGCUUAACCGAAGAAGUGCAUCGGAAACCGGGCGACUUGAGUGCAGAAGAGGACAGUGGAACUCCAUGUGUAGCGGUGGAAUGCGUAGAUAUAUGGAAGAACACCAGUGGCGAAGGCGGCUGUCUGGUCUGCAACUGACGCUGAGGCUCGAAAGCAUGGGUAGCGAACAGGAUUAGAUACCCUGGUAGUCCAUGCCGUAAACGAUGAGUGCUAGGUGUUGGAGGGUUUCCGCCCUUCAGUGCCGAAGCUAACGCAUUAAGCACUCCGCCUGGGGAGUACGACCGCAAGGUUGAAACUCAAAGGAAUUGACGGGGGCCCGCACAAGCGGUGGAGCAUGUGGUUUAAUUCGAAGCUAUGCGAAGAACCUUACCAGGUCUUGACAUCUUGCGCCAACCUCAGAGAUGAGGCGUUCCCUUCGGGGACG